AGUGAACGCUGGCGGUAGGCCUAACACAUGCAAGUCGAACGGCAGCACAGUAAGAGCUUGCUCUUACGGGUGGCGAGUGGCGGACGGGUGAGGAAUACAUCGGAAUUUACUUUUUCGUGGGGGGUAACGUAGGGGCACUUACGGUAAUACCGCAUACGGACUACGGGUGAAAGCAGGGGAUCUUUGGACCUUGCCCGCUUGAACGAGCCGAUGUCGGAUUAGCUAGUUGGCGGGGUAAAGGCCCACCAAGGCGACGAUCCGUAGCUGGUCUGAGAGGAUGAUCAGCCACACUGGAACUGAGACACGGUCCAGACUCCUACGGGAGGCAGCAGUGGGGAAUAUUGGACAAUGGGCGCAAGCCUGAUCCAGCCAUACCGCGUGGGUGAAGAAGGCCUUCGGGUUGUAAAGCCCUUUUGUUGGGAAAGAAAAGCAGCAGGUUAAUACCCCGCUGUUCUGACGGUACCCAAAGAAUAAGCACCGGCUAACUUCGUG
rnacentral:rRNA from 1 species